GCUUCACUAGCUCAGUCGGUAGAGCGUCAGUCUCAUAAUCUGAAGGUCGAGAGUUCGAGCCUCCCGUGGAGCA